GAUUUCUGGCUUGAAACAUUUUGCCGGCCGCGGUUUCGCGUGUUAGUGCUUGAUGUUCUGGCCAUCCUUCCAAUCGCUGUGUACCUUUCUUCAUUGAUUGGUGCAUGGUAUUGGAUCUUUUACUUUGAAAAAAUUAGAGUGUUUCAAGCAGGCUUUAUGCUAUGAAUACAUUAGCAUGGAAUAAUAAUUUAGGACUUCGGUUCUAUUUUGUUGGUUUCUAGGACUGAAGUAAUGAUUGAUAGGGAUAGUUGGGGGUGCUAGUAUUCAGCGGCCAGAGGUGAAAUUCUCGGAUUCGCUGAAGACUAACUUAUGCGAAAGCAUU
rnacentral:rRNA from 3 species